GAUGAAGAACGCAGCGAAAUGCGAUACGUAAUGUGAAUUGCAGAUCUCUCAGUGAACCAUCGAAUUUUUGAACGCACAUUGCGCCCGCCAGCACUCUGGCGGGCAUGCCUGUCCGAGCGUCAUUUCAACCCUCAGGGCCCCUUCGGGGGACCUGGCGUUGGGGAUCGGCCCGCCCCCGUGCGGCGCCGUCCCCGAAAUAUAGUGGCGGUCUCGCUGCAGCCUCCCCUGCGUAGUAGCACACCUCGCACUGGAGAGCGGCGCGGCCACGCCGUGAAACCCCCAACUUCUGAAUGUUGACCUCGGAUCAGGUAGGAAUACCCGCUGAACUUAAGCAUAUCAAUAAGCGGAGGA
rnacentral:misc_RNA from 1 species